AGAGUUUGAUCAUGGCUCAGAAUCAACGCUGGCGGCGUGCCUAACACAUGCAAGUCGAACGCGAAAGUUCCGCAAGGAAUGAGUAGAGUGGCAAACGGGUGAGUAACACGUGGGUGACCUGCCUUCGAGUGGGGGAUAACGUCCCGAAAGGGACGCUAAUACCGCAUAACAUCCUGCCUUUUAAGAGGCGGAGAUCAAAGCUGGGGAUCGCAAGACCUGGCGCUGGAAGAGGGGCCCGCGUCCGAUUAGCUAGUUGGUGGGGUAACGGCUCACCAAGGCGACGAUCGGUAGCCGGCCUAAGAGGGCGGACGGCCACACUGGGACUGAGACACGGCCCAGACUCCUACGGGAGGCAGCAGUGGGGAAUUGUUCGCAAUGGGCGCAAGCCUGACGACGCAACGCCGCGUGGAGGAUGAAGACCUUCGGGUCGUAAACUCCUUUCGAUCGAGACGAACAGCCUCUGGGUGAAUAGCCUGGGGGUCUGACGGUACCGAGAGAAGAAGCCCCGGCUAACUCCGUGCCAGCAGCGGCGGUAAUAC
rnacentral:rRNA from 1 species